GUUUCAGGGCGUGGUGAAAGUCCACACCGGUGGUGAACGCAUUAUAUGCAAAGUCCACGAGCCUCAGGGCCGAACUGGUGAGAUUCCAGUACCGACGGUAUAGUCCGGAUGAAAGAAA
rnacentral:ncRNA from 1 species